CAACCCUCAAGCCUAUAAGUGCUUGGUGUUGGGGUACUUCUGCAGCUCUGCUGCAGGCCCUGAAGACAAGUGGCAGACCUCUGCGGUGCUCCAGCGUAGUACUAUUCUCGCUGAAGAGACACUUGUAGCUGUCUUGCUAGCAGCAGCGCAAGCAUAUUU
rnacentral:misc_RNA from 1 species